UACAAACGCACCCGGGCCCGGUUCUAGCUCUGCUGAGCUCGGGACGGCCGCUCGGAUUCGGUUCCGUGAGGCGGCAUACCGAACCACCGGGCCCAGGGGUACCGGGUCGCCUCCACGGCGGAGCCGCUGAGCAGGAGGCGCUCGCGCGCGGCUCCCUCUCGUGCUAGCUUGCAGCUGCAGCAGGCCCGGCCGCCAUGCUGCAGACGCCGCGGUGGGACUCCGCGUGCCACCGACCCGAGCGAAGAGACAGAAGAUAAAAACGGCAUUUUCUCCCCGGGAGGAAGUUUGAAGCACGUCUGCCAUCCCACCUAAGCUGAGAAGCUGAGGAGCGUGUUUACUGUAAACCUGAUGAUUGUGGCGGUGCAAACAGGUUAGCAGCCCCUCAUUUCCACGUCUGUAAUCUACUGCUGCAAGUCCUGGAGCCAAUGCAGCCGCGCCGCACACGGAGAGCUAAUUCCUGCAUAUUGAAGCACAUGAAAACACCUCGUCUGAGGAAGCCGCCUGGAAGUGGCAGCACAGGUCCAGUCUGCCGUGUGAAGAAGCCGCCUGCACGUCCUCGAUAAGAGCGAGCGGCGAGGACACAACAGCCCGCUUCAGGUGUCAGCACUUCAGACUGGAAGUGGCUUUAGAGGGAAUGUGUGGAAGUCCACAUUGCUCAGUUUUAGCCAUCAGCGUCCUGGACUUCGUUUGGAGCUCUCAGCCUCUCUUUGGUCUGCACAACACAUGCUUCAGCUUCAGACAAUCAAUUAGAUCCUCAAGGCCAUGAAGAGUGAAGAGGAGAGGUGAGGGCCGAAGCAGAGACAGCUGACGUAUGCCGAGCAGGAGCCGUUUAUCACCUCGCUGCACCUACGGAGCAUUUACAUCUCAUUUUUCUGUUGCUUUUUCGCUCAAACCUGCUUUGUAAAAGUCUCCUGUAAAGACGCGCUCUACACAGAAGUGAUAAACACACCCAAAAAA